UAAUAUAGACCCUUUCCUGGGGGUAGUCAGCCCUUAAAUGCUCUCUUGGAGAGCUGCAGCCAGGCUCCACCUUCCAUUCACUCUGGAUUGCCUCCACCUGUGCUCCCACAGCUGACUGAGUUCUGCCUCAGCUGAUCAAUCAGUGGUUCAGGCCAUGACUCAGCAGCUCCCCUUUACCUGGGGAGGUGCAGCCCUGCGAGCACAGCUGAUGGCAAUCCGGCUGUGGGGUGGGGCUGAGACGGGCUCCUCCCCUCCCUGACCGCAUUUAAGGGCUGGAAGCAAAGGGGCAGCAUCUGAGUCUGGCUGUGCUUCCUUGAGGGUGUGGGGGUGAGUUCUUCUGUACUGGAGGGCUGUGAUCUACUCCUUUGCUGGGGGUUCAUGGCUGCAUUUGGGGCUGGCAGCCAUCUGUACCUGGAAACUGCUUCUUUGGGGGAGUGAGUGAGUGAGUACUGGUCCUUGGAAUGGGGUGGCAGCAGAGAGCUGCAGCGCUCCCGAGUGCUGUAAGGACUGCACGGAGAGACGUGCGGGUCUUCACGGAACAGCAAGGAACCGAAAGCUGCAUUUCCUGGAUGCCCUGGAACCCCACUUUGCUGACUGGUAAUUGUCUGCCCAGCAGGUAAGGACAAUGCACACCCACCAGUGUUUACCGCUUACUCAGUGAGACACAAGGUGGAGUUCCCAGAGCUCCUUUCUGCACUUCAGGGUGCCCCGAAGGCUGCCCCGUCCUAUUCUUUGCACGUUCU
rnacentral:lncRNA from 7 species